UACGUAGGGUGCAAGCGUUUGUCCGGAAUUAUUGGGCGUAAAGAGCUCGUAGGCGGUCUGUCGCGUCUGCUGUGAAAACUCGGGGCUUAACCCCGGGCCUGCAGUGGGUACGGGCAGACUAGAGUGCGGUAGGGGAGACUGGAAUUCCUGGUGUAGCGGUGAAAUGCGCAGAUAUCAGGAGGAACACCGGUGGCGAAGGCGGGGUCUCUGGGCCGUAACUGACGCUGAGGAGCGAAAGCAUGGGGAGCGAACAGG
rnacentral:rRNA from 1 species